rnacentral:rRNA from 1 species
AUGGUGUGGAGACGAUGCUUGGCGUCUCCGGCGAGAUCGGCAAGAUGGGCGACAAGCUCCGGUACCUCAACAAUUUCUUGGCUGAUGCUGAUAGGAGGAACAUCACCGAUGAGACCGUUCAAGAGUGGGUGGGGCAGCUCAAGCGUGCCAUGUAUGAAGCUACCGACAUCCUCGAUCUCUGCAACCUCAAGCUUGCUCUUCUGCAUGCGGAAUCCCUCCCAUGCUCAUGAGAUCGGCACCCGCAUCAAAAAGCUCAACAUGAGGCUCGACUCCAUCAAAGAACGGAGUGCUGCUUUCAACUUCAUCAAUCUCGGGUCUUAUGAGGAUCAUAACUACAAUGUCCAUGGCUUUCACCAAGGUAAUCCAAGUCGGGAGACGGUAGGGGACUUUGACCGGUCGGAAGAAGACACAAGAGCACUGGUGGCCCAAAUCAUGCAGGCGGGAAAGGAUGUCAACAAUGGCAUCAUGGUGGUCGCUAUCGUAGGUGUUGGUGGGAUCGGCAAGACCACCCUCGCCCAGAAGGUCUUCAAUGACGAGGCAAUCCAAGGUGAAUUCAGCAAAAAGAUAUGGUUGAGCGUCAACUAA